AUCGCUUCUCGGCCUUUUGGCUAAGAUCAAGUGUACAUAUAAUAGUGAUACUGAAUUUUCUUCUGAAAUUAAUUAGAAAGCUUUAGUAUCAUAUGGGUCUGAUAUAUCACCUUUCGUUUUGUUUCAUAUGUUCAAG
ensembl:snRNA U2 U2 spliceosomal RNA